AGCUGUGAGGGCAAUCUGGCUGUGAAGUGUGUGCUGAUUUGGCUAACCUGGCUGGUUAGGCAGGGGUUGCUUUUCUCCAUUACUUCCCCUCCCCCAAAGCUACAUACCCAGUUGAGUCAAUACUUCCAGAUAGAUACAGGUCCACUCUUGAGUCAAGGGUAUAUAAAUAGUGGAAGUCCCCUGCUAGAACCACCAAACAAAUUCUCAAAGGCAUGGUAGUUUUCCUUUAGGCUGUUCUUUUUACCUUCUUCUUUGUCACAAGGCUGGAGCCCAGU
rnacentral:sRNA from 1 species